UAUGCUAUCAAACUAAAAUCAAGAACACAAAAGAAUUGAUAGAAUGAUAGACAAAUAUAAGGAGGAGGAUACAUUACAGAAGACUGGAAAAGAACAAAGAAAAUUAGAGGUCAGAGUGGGGAGUACAUUUCUUAGCCAUUAGCAGCACUAUUAGCUGUGUAUGACAAGAUUCCCAAGAAUCUAGACACCAGCCUCUUACCCAUGUGAGGCAGUUCCAUGUGAUGUAUUCCUUCCAUCUAAAGAAUGAAGACUGAGGCCAUCCACAGAGGACCUUGGUGAUGAAUCCAUCUCAUCAGUCAUCUUUUCUCUCUUCUAUCCAGUUGUUUGGCCUUCUUGACUCAAGCUUCAUGAUUCAAGAUAAAUGAAUGAGACUUGGUUACCUAACCACCCAGAAAACCUCCAGACAUCACAAUUUCAUGAAAUUAUUAAAUAUUUUCUUAAACAUAGCCUAAACAUCAAAUAUUUUCUUUUAAAUGAUAUGUUUUGUGUUUGGUUUUGGAAAUUAACUUCAUUGUUAUUCUGGAGUUACUCAGCAAAAUUGUGCUUUCAAAUAUGUCUUUGUGUCCUCACCUCUAAUUAGUGGUGCUCACUUCCACGAACACCUGCUAUAAUAUCUAGGCCAUGAUUUUUUUGUGAUGCUUCUCUGGUUCUCUAGAAUUCCAAAUUCAUCUUGGCUGUGAUGGGCAGUUACUUAUACUUCUACACCCUUUAGUCUGAAAUCACUGUAGGUUUUUUUUUUUUUUUUUUUUUAGUGUUAUUUAUUU